rnacentral:tRNA from 1 species
CGGGGUGUGGCUCAGCUUGGCUAGAGCGCCUGGUUUGGGACCGGGAGGUCGCAGGUUCGAAUCCUGUCACCCCGA